rnacentral:rRNA from 1 species
CCUACGGGUGGCAGCAGUGAGGAAUAUUGGGCAAUGGGGGCAACCCUGACCCAGCCAUGCCGCGUGAGUGAAGAAGGUCUUCGGGUUGUAAAGCUCUUUCGGCCGUGACGAUGAUUGCGGUAGCGUCUCACGAAUCACCGGCAAACUUCGUCACAGCAGCCGCGGUCAUACGAAGGGUGCGAGCGGUGUUCGGAAUUACUGGGCGGAAAGGGAGUGUAGGCGGAGAUGGAAGAUAGCGGUGAAAUGCCGGGGCUCAACCCCGGAACUGCCAUUAUGACUAUGUAUCUAGAGUAAUGGAGAGGAUAGCGGAAUACCCAGUGUAGAGGUGAAAUUCGUAGAUAUUGGGUAGAACACCGGUGGCGAAGGCGGCUAGCUGGACAUUUACUGACGCUGAGGCUCGAAAGCAUGGGGAUCAAACAGGAUUAGAUACCCCAGUAGUC